GAUGAACGCUGGCGGCGUGCCUAACACAUGCAAGUCGAGCGGCAGCGAGGGGUGCUUGCACCCUGUCGGCGAGCGGCGGACGGCUGAGUAACGCGUGGGAACGUGCCCCAAAGUGAGGAAUAACUGCCCGAAAGGGUAGCUAAUACCGCAUAUUAUCUUCGGAUCAAAGGAUUUAUCCGCUUUGGGAGCGGCUCGCGUCGGAUUAGGUAGGUGGUGAGGUAAUGGCUCACCAAGCCGACGAUCCGUAGCUGGUCUGGGAGGAUGACCAGCCAGACUGGAACUGAGACACGGUCCAGACUCCUACGGGAGGCAGCAGUGAGGAAUCUUCCACAAUGGGCGAAAGCCUGAUGGAGCAACGCCGCGUGCAGGACGAAGGCCUUCGGGUUGUAAACUGCUUUUAUAAGUGAGGAAUAUGACGGUAACUUAUGAAUAAGGAUCGGCUAACUACGUG
rnacentral:rRNA from 1 species